rnacentral:lncRNA from 1 species
UUUUUUUUUUUUUUUUUUUGGGUAAGGGUAUGGUGGAAAAAGCACUAGAAAAGUCCGUGGAAAUUUUUAGAUUCAUCAAAAUUAUUACCAAGAGUGAUGUGCCGUGUAGCGUGAUUAUUCAGGUACAACUGUUCAAAUUAACCCAAAAAAAAAGCUACACCUGUUCAAAGGAUUUUUUUUUUUUUUUUUUGGAAAGUCAAAUUAAAGGGCAUCAUUGGUAGUGGUGCAUUAUGUGGAGAUAAUUAUUAUACGGCAUAGCAUAAUGAACUUCCUAAUAUUUUUUGGGGUGUUUCAUUUGUUAGUUUUUGAAAAGUGAAUUUAAAUGUGAAAACACACUUAUUUUUAAAUGAAGAGAUGUUUUUUUAGUGCAUUUUUUUCAAGCAUCACAUGAGAAACAGCAACACGUGUAAAAUAAAAGUCUUCUGAUACCGUGUGGCGCCUGAUGGUAACUAUGGAAGCUUCUUAAAUAGUCAAAUGGAGAUGGGGUUUGACUUGGCUGCCUCGUCUCGACGAGCCUCGCAAUUUCUUCUCAUCAGACGUUCCUCAAAAGGAGUAGGCACCAUCCAAGAUUUGCGUGUAAACUUGUGUCGGCCAUCCCAUGGUAAAGGCAAAAGCAUAAAUACAAUAGGCAAUUUAGACCCAACAAAAAAAGGGGCCAUCUUUCUUAUACUGACAGUGUAUACACUAUCAGUAUUGAAUGAAUGACAAUUAUAUAGAAUUUAAAUUUGAAAUUUAACUUUUAUACACCUAUCAUGAAUCUAACGGUGAUAAUGUAUAUAUUGUCAAUGUUUAUAAAAUUUACUCGAAAAAAAAAACCUUUCUAUACCAUGCAUGUGAUUUUGUGUAGUUCGAGUGACAAUGAAAUUCUCGAAAAAGUGAAAGCUAUCAAAUACUUUAUAUACCUAAAAUCCAUUUAUUGAAUUGUUUAAAUACUAGAGUUUGGUUAACGACUGGGCAUUCGAUGUUUUGAGUAUUUAUUUUUUAGAAUAUGGAAUUAAUUUGAGAAAAUAUUUGAAUGUGAAGGUGCAUCACAUUAAUGCAUUAGGUGUAUUUUAAGUAAGUUAAUUCGACAUGAGAUAUAACACAAGAUUACCAUUUUAGAAGGUUUAGGAUCAACAAAGAAAAUGAUAAAAUCUGUGUGAUCAAGUCCGCCUUGAUCUAACAGAAGAAUAAGUUUAUAGUUGGCUUAGUAACUAAGGCUCAGUUUGACAAAUAAGUUUUUUGGAUGUUUGUCUAAAACUUUACAGUAAUUUACUGUAAAAGUUGUAGGUAAAAAUUUUGAAGUGUGUAAAUUUUUGGAUAUUUUGAAGCGUAUAGUUUAAAAUUUUUGAGAAGUUUUUUUGAAAUUACCGUAGUUAAAGUUGUUAAAAAACUUGUAGCAGAUAAAUUUGGAAUAAAAACUUGUUUGCCAAACAGCCCCUAAGUGAUGGUAACAAAAGCGCAAAAUGGUUGGGAGUACAAAGUGGAGUUGAGGAAGUUUCGAUCCUACUUCUGAACUGCAAUAUAAAUCUGAUUGGUUGUAAAAGUAAAUGCUCUGGAAAUAAUUAUGAAUUGGUAAUUCCUAAAAGUUACAAGAACUUGACAUCAGCUUGAUCCUGAAAUAUCUUUCCUCAGAAGAAAAAAAAAGUCUUAAACUAUCUUGAUUAAGCACAAAAUUUUCUAUUUUUUUGGUUACUUUGCCAAGUCUUGGAGCUUAGUCAAUGCUAAUAAUUUUCAUCAACAUGUGGUGUGUACGCGAUUUAUUCGUUCGCCAUAAUCCUUCCUCUUCCCUGAAGUUCCUCUCCAAACUUGCACAGAAUUUAUGACUACACGCAUCCAUGUUUGACCUUUAAAAUCUUGUAUAAAGAGCCAAAAACGACUCUUGAAUAGUUCUCCAACCAAAAACCAUUCUUCAAAUUAAUACAAAAGGCAUGUGAAUCCUCCCUAAUCCUUUAUAUCAUAAAAAAAAAGCGCCCUCCCAUCAGAUAAAGACUGUUUACCCUCUCAAUCUUUUAAGGUCAAAAUAAGGAAACUUCAGCCUUCAUCAAACUGUCUGACAUAGGACUUUCGUCAUUAUUUUAUGUACCAGUAUUCCAUGCUCACUUUCCUUACAAAAAAAGAAAAGGGAAAACCACGUCCUUUUUCACCAAGAGCUCCUACUCCUGUAUAAAAAUCAACCCUUUUGGUCCCAUGAAAGAAAACUAAAUCACAAAAACUGAAGGAAAAACAGCAGAACCUCUGUUCUAUUACACGCUACCCAAUUCUGGCUCUACCUUCUAAAACUUCCGACUCUUUCAUCAAUGGCUGAUCAUCAGAGGAUUCAUCCGGCCCGGGACCCUGAAGCCGGGGCACCCCAGAGAACAACAGUGCCACUAGUUUCCGGGGGGGCUUCCCAGUCAGAGAAAGGUGAUCCAGAAGGCAACUACCAUCCACCACAUCAAAGAACUAUCCCUUAUUCAUACUCAAAACCACCAAAGAGAAACUGCUGCAAGAAGUGUUUGUGUUGGACUCUGGCCCUCAUCAUACUUCUGAUACUCGUCAUAGCCAUCUGUGCUGGGAUCAUGUACCUUGUUUUCCGACCAAAACUCCCAAAAUACUCAGUUGACAGCCUGACCAUAACGCAUCUCAAUCUCAACAACGACAACAGCUUAUUUGCUACUUUUAACGUGAACGUCACAGCUAGAAAUCCCAACAAAAAAAUCGGUAUCUACUACGAGGGCGGCAGCGAUUUGAGAGUCUAUUUUACGGGGACUCAACUUUGUGAAGGUUCAUUGCCAAAGUUUUAUCAAGGUCACAGGAACACCACUGUAAUGAACGUGACUUUGACUGGACAAACGCAGGAUGCAAAUGGGCUGCUGCAGUCUUUGCAGGCCCAGGAGCAGACUGGAAAUAUUCCAUUGUUUCUCAGGGGAAAAGUUCCGGUGAGGCUGAAGCUUGGGGGAUUGAAGUUGAUGAAGUGGAAAUUCUUGGUAAGGUGUUGGUUGAACGUGGAUAGCUUGACACCUGACAACACGAUUAGAAUUAGAGAUAGUCGUUGUAAGUUUAGGUUUAGGUUCUAGUUAUUUGCUUCAUAUGGAGUCUGUAUUCCCGCGGGCGGCGAUUGUCAUUUCUUUCUGAUUUUUUCAUUUUUUUGGGUGUUUAGUUCAUUAUUGUCAAUAAAAGAAGAGGAGGAUGUUUUUCCCUCCCAUACUACUAUAGACGAUGAAUAAUUCUGUGACUCAUCUGUAUCUUCUUAUACAUAUUUCUUUUGAGAUUUUCAUUGUGCUUACUUCCUGUGUAGCACAUGCACAUGCACCUUGGUUUAGACGGUUACUUGAUGAGGGCUUGAAAAUUCUUAUCCUUCUUUGCGCUCAUUCUUCCCUGUUAAAACAGUAGUGGCUGGCUGAAGUGUGGUUUGAAGAUCAAGCAAUUGUAACUUAGGAACACACUCGAUUAUAAUAAGCUGAAAAAUAAAAGAACAAAAUUCGGGAAACUCCCUAAUGUUGGAGUCUUUUUAAUAAAUUACCAGGGCAGAUUAUUUAGAGGACAUUUUAUGAUAGUGCCUUAUGGCGGAUUAGUUUCCUUCUCCAUACAUGUCUGAAACCAUUCAAGUCCAAAUUUGCCCCAGAAGAAACUAUUCCAGGGCAACACCUGAAUUCUUGAUUCUGCAGACCUGAAACAGAGCUACUCUAGACGCCAACCGCAUUCUAUUCUAGUUACCUGGGUAAUGUAAAAGAAAGUAGCGCGUUACUUGGAGCUUAACCAAUCUUGCCGUAUCUCCAAAAGGCAGAAAUAUGAUGGGGAAAAAAAAAACCUUAUAGUUGAAGCUGCCGAGUAUCUCAUCGCACUAGAUAAUUCAAGAAUGAACACUACCCAAGUAACAAUAUCAAUUCAGGCAACAAGUUUGGCCUUGCAUAUUACACACAAGUAAGACAUAGUAAUCUUGGUCCUUUGAAAGCUAAGAAUUCUUAGUUUGCACGCUUAUACAUGUUUCUCCUAGGUUAAUGAAUUACUGGCUUCAAGGGAUGAGCUCUCAGUUUGGAUAAAUCCAAGUUUGCAUCUAACUCUUC